rnacentral:rRNA from 1 species
AAACUUAUUGCCGGUCUAUCUUCCGGUCAACGGGCCGCACUUGCCGAAACACCACUCCGUAGCAUGCUUCAGAUACCUUCGCUGAAGAUGCGUACACUGUUGAUCCGGUACAUGGUUGAGAUAUUUGAUCCUAGCAAGGGCAGAUUCAUUGUACAAGACUUGGUUGGCGAAGUGUCUCUCGGUGCCGUGGAUGUUGAGUGCAUCUUGGCCUUGGAGAACCACGGACUGUCGGCAGAAGGUAUUCUCGGUGAGGAAGGUGAGGAUGUUAAAGAUCGAGUGCCGCCUCAAUUCCUGAGCAAGACCACAGGUAACAUAGUCAUCGAUGAUCUGAUUGUGGACAUCACAAAAAAUAAAUCUGCCGACGACGAUUUCCUUCGGAGAGUUGUCCUCGUGUUGCUUGGAACAGUUCUUGCUCCCAUGUCGAGCAAGACUGUACCAAAGCAAUAUUACGCAUUGGUGGACGAUGUGAAGCGUAUAUCCAAGAUUAAUUGGAAUGCAUUCACCCUCCGGGUUCUGCUGGACUGCCUUCGCAACGUGAGGAAAGGCAAACACCUCCGCCAAUGGCCGAGAGGGAACUUAGCUCUCCUGCAG